GAACGCUGGCGGCAGGCCUAACACAUGCAAGUCGAACGGCAGCGGGGGAGCUUGCUCCCUGACGGCGAGUGGCGGACGGGUGAGUAACACGUAGGAAUCUACCUUAAUUAUAAUAGUUAGUGGGGGAUAACCCGGGGAAACUCGGGCUAAUACCGCAUAAUCUCUUCAAAGCAAAGCGGGGGAUCUUCGGACCUCGUGCUAUGAGAUGAGCCUGCGUCGGAUUAGCUAGUUGGUAGGGUAAUGGCCUACCAAGGCGACGAUCCGUAGCUGGUCUGAGAGGACGAUCAGCCACACUGGGACUGAGACACGGCC
rnacentral:rRNA from 1 species